CACCCAACCUUCGUGGGGUGUGGACGUGUGUGCGUGUGUGUGUGUGUGUGUGUGCGUUUCCCUUACGUACAUAUACACAUGACAACUCUCUUCCUCCACCUCCGCCUCCACCACCUCCUCUUCCUUCUCCUCCUCUUCCUCCAAUGAGCCUGUAUUGAUUUGACGCGAAAAGAAGAAGAGGAGGAAGGGGAGGAGGAGGAGGAGGAGGAGGAAGAAGAGAAAGAAGUGGAGGAAAAAAUAUGGAGAGGAGAGAAGAAAUAUUUGAAUAGAGAGAAGAUAAAACUGACUGAGACGCCUUCGCAGCAUCUGGUCUGAGAGAGAGAGAGAGAGAGAGAGAGAGAGAGAGAAUGAGGAAGACGUCGUGUUAUAUCAUCUUAGCGAUGUCUCUCGUUUUUCUGCUCUACGUCAUUCCAUGGACAGACAGCCACGCCAGCUCCUCCAAGAAUGAAGGAGGAGGAGGAGGAGGAGGUGGAGGAGACCCUUCUCUUCCAUUCAACUUUCCUCACCCCGUAGAAACGAUGACCGACGGGCUCCCCUUCCGCGCCUACCAGGAGGAGAUGCUGUACCAGGUGAGCGGCGAGGGAGAGGCUGGCCGGCAGAUCACCAUCCACGAGCACGCGCUCAUCUCCCACGCCAAGGAUGCUGCGAUCGGCGCCCUCAACCGCAUGCUGCCCGCCUCGUCCUUCCACAGUGGGAGGUACCGGUGGCUGCCUGAUGGGGUGGAACAUGACCUACUUUACCAGGACGAGGUCAGCGGGGCCUCAGCGCGGGUCACCCUCUUCCAGAAGCUGAACAACCCACAGGUCAUACGGACAGUGCAAGUGGAUGGCACACAGACGGUGCACAUGGUCCUCUCCCUGAAGGGCCGGCUGGACAAGUACACCACCUUCCUGCACCACCUGUCAACCAACAUCCUGCCCCACGACCCUCACCUCACCCUGACCAUUGCCUCCUUUGACUCCAACACACAUCAAGUCCAGAAUCUGACCUCGGCCGGACUUGCCAGCUUCCCGAACUUCCGCUGGAAUGUACUGCCGCUGGGGGGGGAGGCUGGGGAUUCAGGGGGGUUUUCCAGGGGUAAGGGACUCCACCUGGGGGCCCUCAAGGCAACAUCUGCCCCAGGGGAUCUGAUCUUCUUCUGUGAUGUGGAUGUUCUGAUGAAGGCGGAUUUCUUCAGGAGGUGUCGCGCCAAUACCUUGCUCGGGAGGCAGGUCUACUACCCCAUCAUCUUCUCGCUGUACAACCCCAGCCUGGUGUACCCGCUCCUGGACAAGCCGGUGCCCCCCGUGCAGGACCAGCUGGCCGUGGGGGAGCACACCGGGUUCUGGCGGGAGUUCGGGUACGGCAUGGCCUGCGUCACCCGGGGGGACUACCUGGGGGCUGGGGGCUACCCGGACAUCAGGACCUGGGGCGGGGAGGACGAGGCGCUCUACCAGCAGUUUUUGACCAAGGACCACAUCAAGGUGAUUCGUGCACCCGACCCAUCCCUGUUCCACCUGCACCAUGCCAAGGAGUGUUCUGAGGGGCAGGGCGUGGCAUACGUGGCCUGCCUCAAGUCCCGUGCCAACACUGAGGGCUCCAAGGUUCAACUCGGUCUGACACUGCUCAAGGCACACCACGGCACUGAUAUAGAGGGCGUGCUUAGUAAGAGGUUCUACUACUUCUGGUUGGUGCCAUAUCUCGGUGGCCUGCUCACUGUGUCCCUGCUCACCAACCUCCUGCUGGCCACCCUCCUGCUAACAUGGGCCAGGAGAGCCGCAAGGGUGGCCAAGAAAGUUUAAUAAAGCUCAAGUGUUGCUGUAACGUGUGUGGUUCUAAAGUGAGUACGCCGUGUGGUCCUCAAGGGCAAAGUGGAUACAGCGUAGAGAGGAACUGUUGGAAGUGGAUACACCUUGGGGACGAAAAGGCUAGAAUAUGGUACAGAAGAAAAAAGAAAACUGAACAAAACCAAAAGACACAACAACGCCAAUCAACAAUCAAGAAUAAGUCAUAAGUGGGAGCCGUUACAAAGGCAAUCCCACGCCUUCUACUGGACUGGACUGGACUAGAGUGGAUAUGCAUGUGUGAGUCUAAGAAGGUUGAAGUAUUACUGUAAUGUGUGUGGGUAUAAAGUGAGUACGCCAUGUGAUCCUUGAGGUUAGAGUGGAUAUAGUGUAGGGAAGAAGUACUGUGUGUGGUUCUAAAGUACAUACGUCUUGUGGUCCUUGAGGCUAGAGUGGAUACACUGUAGGGUAGAAGUACUGUGUGUGGUUCUAAAGCACAUACGUCUUGUGGUCCUUGAGGCUAGAGUGGAUACAGUAUAGGGUAGAAGUGCUGUGUGUGGUUCUAAAGUACAUACGUAUUGUGAUCCCCGAGGUUAGACUGGGUACAGGAGGUGUGAUUCUAAACAGUAUUCAGCUCAAGAACAAUAAUUCUAAGCAGUAUGCAGAACAGGAAGGGAAGAGACUGUGGCUUAGAGGCCAGCGUGCUGGUGUGGUGAGCCCGAGAACUUAGAUGGUGACAAUUUUCAAUCACCAAGAGGCAGAAGAUAACGGACAUGCUGCCCAGAUCUUCAGUCAACCCUAACUUAAGCGACUUCAUUCAAGGAGAGCACUGGGGGGCAGCAUGGGCCAAGCAAGGGUCCAACACCACGGAAGCCACUAAAAAUAAAA